rnacentral:lncRNA from 1 species
CUUGGAGUAUGUUUUGAUUAUCAGCCUUUUAUCCCCAACUGCCCUUGUCUUUCUCAUUGCUAGCAAAAUUCCUUCAUAUUCUGUUAAAAUUUUUGUUGAUGCAAAUAGCAAAUGAACUGAGUAACGCAGUAUUUUCCCUCGGGAUGUUUUGAUGACUGUCGCAACCCUUCUUCUUGGUCGUUUUUUAACCUGUCAAUGUAUAUAAUCCAUGGGUUUUCUUCUUCGUUAGCC